UGUCUAUUAAUUGUAGACCAGUAUGAAAGGCAAAAUGAGGGCCUAUCUGUCUCUUACAAUAAAUCANUUAAACUGAUCUCCUAGUAAAAAAGCUAGAAUCUUUACAUAAGACCAGAAGACCCUGUGAAGCUUAAACUAAACUAUUAAACCCUAUAAUACCUACUUUCGGUUGGGGCGACCUUGGAAAAAAAAAGAACUUCCAAACAUAUGAUACACUCAAACAUAGACCCACAAGUCCAUAAUGACCCAGUAUAACUGACAGUUGANCCAAGUUACUCCAGGGAUAACAGCGCUAUCUUCUUCAAGAGCCCAUAUCAAAAAGAAGGUUUACGACCUCGAUGUUGGAUCAGGNCAUCCUAAUGGUGCANCCGNUAUUAAAGGUUCGUUUGUUCAACGAUUANCAGU
rnacentral:rRNA from 1 species